UACGUAGGGGGCAAGCGUUGUCCGGAAUCAUUGGGCGUAAAGCGCGUGUAGGCGGUCCGGUAAGUCGGCUGUGAAAGUCCAGGGCUCAACCCUGGGAUGCCGGUCGAUACUGCCGGACUAGAGUUCGGAAGAGGCGAGUGGAAUUCCCGGUGUAGCGGUGGAAUGCGCAGAUAUCGGGAGGAACACCAAUGGCGAAGGCAGCUCGCUGGGACGUUACUGACGCUGAGACGCGAAAGCGUGGGGAGCAAACAGG
rnacentral:rRNA from 1 species